AUGCUUCGGGCGAGCGCACGCGGCCUUCUCGUCGGCCGCCGACGAGACCUCAUGGCCUCCCUCCUCGCCUUCUCCUCCUCCGCCUCCGGCCCCCCGCACAAACCAUCGCCGUCCCACACCUCUCCCCCUCCGCCCUCGGCUUCCUCCUCCGCACGAGCGUCGCGCUUCCGCCUCCUGCUCGCCCGCGCCGCCGCGCGCCGCGACCCCGAGCCGCCGCCGCAGGCCGAGAGCGAGAAGAAGUCGAUUGCGGUGAGAACGGGGGAGCUGUUCCUGGGUCUGAGUGCGCUGUUCAUCCGCGCGGGGAGGGGGACGGCGCCGGUGGAGGAGGUGGAGCAGAGGGAGGGGGUGUUGUGGGAGCAGCGCCCGGAGGACGUGGAGGCGGAGCGGCAGCGGCAGCGGCGGGAGGUGGCGACAGCGAGCCCCGGGUUCAGCUUCUCAGCCGCCGGGCUUCUCUUCCCCUACCACCUCGGCGUCGCGCAGUGCCUCCUCGACAAAGGCUACAUCACAGAAAGAACUCCGUUAGCUGGCUCAUCAGCUGGUGCCAUAAUCUGUGCAGUGAUUGCAUCCGGGAAGACAAUGCAAGAGGCUCUUCAGGUGACCAAGAUUCUAGCUGAAGACUGCCGGAGUAAAGGGACUGCCUUUCGCCUUGGGGCUGUACUCAAGGAUGUUCUAGAAAAGUUUCUCCCAGAUGAUCUGCAUAUCAGUUGCAACGGAAGGAUCCGUGUUGCUAUUACUCAGUUGUCCUGGAGGCCUAGGGGCUUACUGGUCGACCAGUUUGACUCCAAGGAAGACGUCAUUAGUGCAAUUAUUACAUCUUCGUUUAUUCCUGGAUACUUAGCCCCCAGGCCUGCGACUUUAUUCCGUAACAGGCUGUGCGUUGACGGGGGCCUUACAUUGUUUAUGCCACCCACUUCUGCUUCUGAAACAGUUCGAAUCUGCGCUUUCCCAGCUGGCAGACUAGGACUCCAAGGGAUUGGUAUUAGUCCAGACUGCAAUCCGGAGAACAGAGCAACUCCCCGACAGCUGUUUAACUGGGCUCUGGAACCUGCUGAAGAUGAAGUUCUCGAUAAAUUGUACGAGCUUGGGUACCAGGAUGCAGCUGUGUGGGCUGAGCAGAACCCUCCUGAGUCAACUGUGAAGAUUGAGCAGCUCGGUACAGAUUGA
rnacentral:rRNA from 1 species